AAGACCUUGCGCUUUUGGAGCGGCCGAUGCCUGACUAGCUUGUUGGUAAGGUAAAAGCUUACCAAGGCUUCGAUCAGUAGCUGGUCUGAGAGGACGAUCAGCCACACUGGGACUGAGACACGGCCCAGACUCCUACGGGAGGCAGCAGUGGGGAAUUUUGGACAAUGGGGGCAACCCUGAUCCAGCCAUGCCGCGUGAGUGAAGAAGGCCUUCGGGUUGUAAAGCUCUUUCAGCCGGAACGAAACGGUUACGGAUAACACCCGUGACUACUGACGGUACCGGAAGAAGAAGCACCGGCUAACUACGUGCCAGCAGCCGCGGUAAUACGUAGGGUGCGAGCGUUAAUCGGAAUUACUGGGCGUAAAGGGUGCGCAGGCGGUUUUGUAAGUCAGAUGUGAAAUCCCCGGGCUUAACCUGGGAACU
rnacentral:rRNA from 1 species